GACGAAGGGGGGCUAGCGUUGUUCGGAAUUACUGGGCGUAAAGCGCGUGUAGGCGGUUGCCCAAGUCGGGUGUGAAAGCCUUGAGCUCAACUCAAGAAAUGCACUCGGUACUGGGUGACUAGAGGACCGGAGAGGAUAGUGGAAUUCCCAGUGUAGUGGUGAAAUACGUAGAGAUUGGGAAGAACACCAGUGGCGAAGGCGGC
rnacentral:rRNA from 1 species